rnacentral:rRNA from 1 species
GACCCUGUUGAGCUUGACUCUAGUUUGACAUUGUGAAAAGACAUAGGGGGUGUAGAAUAGGUGGGAGCUUCGGCGCCGGUGAAAUACCACUACCCUUAUCGUUUUUUUACUUAUUCGAUGAAGCGGAGCUGGACCUCACAGUCCAACUUCUAGCGUUAAGGUCCUUCGUGGGCCGAUCCGGGUUGAAGACAUUGUCAGGUGGGGAGUUUUGCUGGGGCGGCACAUCUG